GCACAGCCUGACACAGGGCUCAAUUCCACGACCCAGGGAUUGUGACCUGAGCUGAAAUCAAGAGUUGGACUCUCAACUGACUCGGCUACCCAGGCAACCCUGUAAAUUUCAUUCUUGGUCCAGCUAGAAGGAUCUUGGACCCAGGAAAAUUUUUUUCUCCCCUUCAGGGGAUACCUGACAGAGGUCCCAGAACACCUGAGGAGAAUGGGUGACCCAGUGGGAUACUUAGUAAUAGCAGGGUUGAAAUGGGGGAAGUUGAAAGGUCAAGGACCUUUUUAAAAAAAACACACACAAAUUCACACUCAGUCUUUAUUUUUCACUUUUCUUUUCCUUCUUGAUAGCAAGUGGGGGCAGGACAAAGAUCUGGCUUGGAAGACGAGUGACGUGCCUUGGUGCAGUGACACACAAACCAUCCAGAGUUGGGCUUGCUGUGACUGUUGGUGGUGCUUUCUCCUGGGCACCUCUCCCUCUCAUAGGGUGAUCUGGACAGGUCCCAUCAUUUGUGGCCUGCAGUAGAUGAUGACUUAAUAGAGAACUCAGAUAUUAGAAGCACAGAGGGAGUCCAGACCCCAGGCCCAAGUUCACAGAAGCAAUGGAGCUGCCAGACCUGAAAGCACACAGCCUAGAAUGAGAGGCAGUUUGGCAAAGGUUAGGAUGGAUGGAGAACUGGUGAUUGAAGUUGGAGGUCCCCAGCAUCUAUGUACUCUGUGCCAGAUGAAGAAAUUGAGGUACAGAGAGAUUUGUAACUCACCCAAGGCUACCCAGCUAGGAAGGUGCAGGCAGAGCUGAGACUCACACUUGGAGUCUGGCUCCAGGUUCUGUGCUCUUCAACACAGUGCUAAGCUGACCAUGCACUGAAGGAACAGGGAUUACAGUCUGCCCUCUCUCAACCUGGAUACCAGCUUUGGUUUGUUGUCUGAAUGAUAGAAUCCUUCAUGUACCACAGGCAAGACUGUGGUCCUUCCAAAAGGUACUGCAUUCAAAGAAGCAUCCCAAGCCCAGCCUCCCCUCUCCAUGUCCCUGCACACUCUGACCAGGAAAUUGCUUCAGAUUCCCUGACUUUGAUUAAGCUUAUAGGACCCAUUCCUGUGUUUCUGCAGUCUCCUAUCAACAACACUUGCAAAGUGGCCUUAAUCAGUUGUCAUCACUGCUUGCCCCUCCCCCCACCCCGCAAAAGGAAAUCUUCCAGGGUGAGGAGAAAUCUUCUUGGUCUGGUAGGAGACUACCUUUCUCUAACACACAAACAUGGUAGUCUGUGUCCAGAUUUUCUGGUCCUGAAUUCAAAUUUUCCAAUGUUGCAUUAAAUUAUGCAUAUUUUUAUGCUAAAAUA